AGCAGCCGCGGUAAUUCCAGCUCCAAUAGCGUAUAUUAAAGUUGUUGCAGUUAAAAAGCUCGUAGUUGAAUUUCGGAGUUUGUCGGUUGGUCGGGCUUCACUGUCCGCACUGGCCUGAUGGAUUCCUACCUUCUGAAUAACCAGCAUGCUAUUAAUUUAGUGCGUUGGGGAAGCAGAGCUAUUACCUUGAAAAAUUAGAGUGCUUAAAGCAGGCUUACGCUUGAAUAGAUUAGCAUGGAAUAAUAAAAUAGGACGGCUUGGUUCUAUUUUGUUGGUUUCUAGGAUCACCGUAAUGAUUAAUAGGGAUAGUUGGGGGCAUUAGUAUUCAAUUGUCAGAGGUGAAAUUCUUGGAUUUAUUGAAGACUAACUUCUGCGAAAGCAUUUGCCAAGGAUGUUUUCAUUAAUCAAGAACGAAAGUUAGGGGAUCGAAGACGAUCAGAUACCGUCGUAGUCUUAACCAUAAACUAUGCCGACUAGGGAUCGGACGAUGUUAAUUUUUAAUGACUCGUUCGCGCCUUAC
rnacentral:rRNA from 1 species